rnacentral:miRNA from 1 species
UGGCAGGGAGGCAGGGAGGGG